ensembl:snRNA U6 U6 spliceosomal RNA
GUGCUUGAUCCCACAACACCUAUAUUAAAAUUGGAAUGCUACAGAGAAGAUUCACAUGGUCUCUGUACAUGAAUGACAUGCAAAUUUGUGAAGUGUUGUGUAUUACC